AACGAACGCUGGCGGCAGGCUUAACACAUGCAAGUCGAACGCCCCGCAAGGGGAGUGGCAGACGGGUGAGUAACGCGUGGGAACAUGCCCAAAGGUACGGAACAACUCCGGGAAACUGGAGCUAAUACCGUAUGUGACCGAGAGGUGAAAGAUUUAUCGCCUUUGGAUUGGCCCGCGUUGGAUUAGCUAGUUGGUGGGGUAAAGGCCUACCAAGGCGACGAUCCAUAGCUGGUCUGAGAGGAUGAUCAGCCACACUGGGACUGAGAUACGGCCCAGACUCCUAGGGGAGGCAGCAGUGGGGAAUAUUGGACAAUGGCGGCAAGCCUGAUCCAGCCAUGCCGCGUGAAUGAUGAAGGCCUUAGGGUUGUAAAGCUCUUUCGCCGGGGACGAUAAUGACGGUACCUGGAUAAGAAGCCCCGGCUAACUUCGUGCCAGCCGCCGCAGUAAAAC
rnacentral:rRNA from 1 species